AGUGAACGCUGGCGGUAGGCCUAACACAUGCAAGUCGAACGGCAGCACAGGAGAGCUUGCUCUCUGGGUGGCGAGUGGCGGACGGGUGAGGAAUACAUCGGAAUCUACUCUGUCGUGGGGGAUAACGUAGGGAAACUUACGCUAAUACCGCAUACGACCUACGGGUGAAAGCAGGGGACCUUCGGGCCUUGCGCGAUUGAAUGAGCCGAUGUCGGAUUAGCUAGUUGGCGGGGUAAAGGCCCACCAAGGCGACGAUCCGUAGCUGGUCUGAGAGGAUGAUCAGCCACACUGGAACUGAGACACGGUCCAGACUCCUACGAGAGGCAGCAGUGGGGAAUAUUGGACAAUGGGCGCAAGCCUGAUCCAGCCAUACCGCGUGGGUGAAGAAGGCCUUCGGGUUGUAAAGCCCUUUUGAUGGGAAAGAAAUCCAGCUGGCUAAUACCCGGUUGGGAUGACGGUACCCAAAGAAUAAGCACCGGCUAACUUCGUGCCAGCCGCCGCAGUAA
rnacentral:rRNA from 1 species